CUCUGUCUCUCUCUCAAAAAUAAAUAAACGUUAACAAUGUUUUUUUAAAUAAAUAAGGAGGUUGGUGCUAAGUGGGCUGCAUUUGUUCAAGGCCAACAGGUGGCUUAGGAGCAACUGGAAUAGACUGGCUCAGAAAGUAUUCUGCAAUAACGAAUAAGAUGCAAUUCAAUUCUUUCCCCCAAAUUACAGUGUUGAUUAAAAAAAACUGCCACAGCUCCAUUUUUAAAAUAUAUGCUCUAAACUGUUUUCUGCCCUUUAGUCUACCUUGCAAGGCCACAUGCAAGCUACAAAAGAAAACACCUUCUCUAUAGCAAUAAGCAGGCACUUAGAAGCUCAGUGAAAGAUCAGACAGUUUCCUAGUGGACAAAGUACUUAACUCCAUUAGUGCCAUAGGCUGAUUAAAUCACCCACAUUACAUUUCAACGGGGUUUCAGCCAAUUAAGCCAGCUCAAUUCAUCUCUGCUUUCUGGGGUCAUAAAGACAUUUAGAAACAAAUUUACGAUCUGGCCUGUUAGUGAAAUGACUUGUGGAGUUGUUUUUAAAUCAGAGUGACUAAAUUAAUAAUUAAAAAAAAAGUUUAAAAUGAUCUGAACUGGGUAUUUUUUUAAUAUUCAAAGCCAUCAUGAUACGACCUUAAUUACAUUCAGCAAAUGCUUUUUUCUUUCCUUCUCUAAGCAGACUUAGAAAGCACUGAACUGAGAAACCAACCAACUGGAACAGAGGAAGAAAUAAGCUGUAUUCAUUUUCAGUCAGGUGACCCCAUUGUGGAACUAUCUUCUUAGAGCAUUCAGUUCUCCUGAAUGAUAAUUCUACCAAGCAGCUCACAGGAGAGGGCAGAUUUGAUCCCUAAAGUAACAUGCAUCUAGAAAAUACAGUUUAGCCAAUUAGGUUGUUCAAUUUCUAGAACUGUGCAGAUACUGCUUCUGAUAUCUCUGCCCCUGAUUCAUCAAGUCCACCACAGAGAUCAUCUAUCAACAGACCUUUGCUGAAAAUGAAAACAACUGACAAGGAAAUACUUGGCUCCAGAGGCCUAUGGAUAAUGUUGCAGUUUCUGGCCGGCUCAGUGUUCAGCUUAAACAACUAUUAUCAUGGAAAAAAAAAAGGGGGAGAAUAAAUAUCUGGACACAACAAGCAAGCUGCACUGUAGAUGGGAAGUAUAAAAUCGCCUGAAACAGAGAAUAGAUCCCCAUCUCUACAUAACAGAGAUCAUCAACUGGCCAGUCAAUAAAUCCAGUUUUUUGAUCAUCAGUAACCAGCAAAGACAAAUGAUGUAUUCGCCAUGAGGAAGCCAGACCACAUCCAAGCUUGGCCAAUAUCAGAAACAAAAGCACAAACAACAGAGAAAGAAGAAUGACAAAAGAGAAAGGAUCAAUGACGGGUCAUUGACAUCCUUCACCAAGUUGCUUCUCUGCCAGCUUGAGUCCUGGAGUUAUGAGCUGCCUGGAUCUCUGAGUCACUACCAUUAGUGAUGGAUAUGCAGCCAAGAAACAAAGUCAGACAUGGAAGUCUCUGGCAACAGAGAGGUUGGAAGAGGAGAUAUUUAAAGUGGUCCUGAAGCUUUCACAGUAGAGAAUGUUAGACACUGUGGGAAGAAAGGGCUUUGCUUCCAGCAAGUUCCACCAUCAUCCACCAUAGGCAACUUUCUGGUAACAUGUGAGUCAUGGUGGUAUACUCUUCAACAAGGUCUGUAUCUCAGCAGGAUGGGGAUAUAUAUGGAGCUUUUCCUUGGGUGUUCAUAUCAAUACUAGGAUUGGUGACUACUCUUUAUAUCUGACAUUUUUAUACUCCUUAAAGUUGUCUUAUUAGCCCAUCUCUCAUUAUUUUAAACUCUUGUUAUACUUCAUUUUUCUUUAUAUUGAUAUUCUCUAUUCAAAUCCUGCACGGUUACUCUCUCCUGAUUGGAUCCACACUGACACAAUGACCAAAUGACAUUCUACAAUCAAAUUUAUGACACUUUAUGAUACUGAAGUAUAAAAUAAAGAUUUUUGUGCUAGUUAUCAUAUUUAAAUUGAACCACCUCUCCAAAUCUAUAUCCCACAUGGAUUAUAGAUCUAAAUGUGAAAGUUACGUUAUACAGUCUUUGGAAGAAAAUAUCAAGGGACAUAUUUAUGGCUUUGGAAAAGGCAAAGAUCUCUUACACAGAAACAUUAUAAAACCCAUUAAUCAUAACAUUAAAAAAUGAAAAAUUGUACUAUGUUCAAAUAAGAAUUUAUAUUCAUCAAGUCACAAGUAAAUAAUCAAAAAUAUAAAGUGACUUUUAUUUAAUAUAUAAAAACAACUCCUACAAAUGAUGACAAAAGGCUGAGAACAGAAUAGAAAAAUAAGCAAAAGAUUUUAUAUUUCAUAAAACAAGACAGCUACCCAGAUGGCCAAUAAUUUUAUGAAAAUAUAUUCAACUUCAUUAGUCAUUAGGAAAUGCCAGUUAAAUCCAAAAUGUGAUAUGUGAUAACACUACAACUACAACUAAGAUGAACAAAAUAAAAAUUAAAAAUAUGCAUAAUACUAAGCUCCAGCAAGAGUGUAGAGCAACUGGAAUGCUCACAAAUUGAUAGUGAGAGUGCAAACUGGUAUAAAAACUUGUCCAAAAUGUUUGCCAAUAUCUACUAAAAUGAAUAUGUGCAUAGUAUAUCACCCGACAUGUAUGUUUACCAAAAAUAUGUACAAAAGUGUUCAUAACAGCACUAUAUAUAAUAGCCUGAGAUUCAAAAUAACUGCUGCCCAUCAGCCAUGGAAUGGAAAAAGAAAUGGUAGUAUAUUUAAGCAGUUUCCUACUGUACAGAAAUGAGAAAUGUCAAACUAUUAUGUACGCAAGAAGUCAGACAAAGAGCAAAUACUUAGAAAUCAGCCUCCAUGAACAAAAGUCAACCUUUGUGGAAGAAAGUAUCUGGACAGAAAAGACGUGGGUUUGGAGAUGCCUGUUAAUCUUCUGGCUCUUAUUAGUGCUGGGAUGACAAGUGUGCUGACAUUUUAAAAUUCAUUAAGGUACACACUAAUGAUUGGUACAGUUUUCUGGAUGUUUGUUAUACUACUAGAAAGACUUAAAAAAUCAUAAAAAUAAGAUGGUUCUUCAAUAGAAUAAGAAAGAUCUUCAUACAGGUAGGAUAUGAUAUUCCUAUCCAGUCAUAUUAUUCACCGAAAUAUUAUUAAUUCCCAAUUAUCUUUAUUGAUGUUACUUUCUAAAGAGUCCUUUAAUUAACAUUUGUCACUUCUAUGCGUCUCUUCUUUGAGCUUAUAAAGUAGCCAUUCAGUUACAUGCUCACAGUCUGAAGCUUUCCAUUUCUCACAGAUUUAUGUGACAAAUAACAGAGUUAUAUUACUUAGAGAAAACUGUAUGAGUCCCAUCACAAGCGCCCAGAAACAGGUCAUGUAUAACACUUUGUUAAAUGUAACAACAACCAUUCUUGCCUUAGAAACUCAAUACUCAAGUCAAGGCUUAUGGGAAAAGAAGCAAGCAUGUGAAUGAAAGCACAAGUAACAGUAAGAGCUGACAUACUUGGCAUUUCAAAAAUGGGAACUUGAUUUAAUAUAGCCAAAAGAGUGAUGGUUGAUGGAGUCAAAUUAUGAAGGGUCUUGUGGCCCACAGAAAGACACUGAUUUUGAUUCCAAGCAAGAUAAGAAGGCAUUAGAUAAUUUUCACUGAUGAAAAAUAUGAUUUCAGGUAAUUGUCACAGUUGUGUAUCGCUUUACCUAUCACCUACCAGUGCAGACCAACUGAGCCAGACACGAAGGGAGAAGGAUUAUGUAUUUUUGAUUUCCACAGGGGAUGCUUUGCCUGUAUGGUCUUUCGCCACAGUGACAAGAUAAACUGGAAAGAAGAGAUUACAUAAAAUUGCAGGACAAAGAUCGGUGGGUACAAGCAGGGCCUCAACUAUACAAUGGGACUAUGAACAAACACAUCAAUGGAUUGCUUCAAGAGUAAAAUGAGAUUCUCCAUCCAAUUGAAGAGAAUGUCCUUCCAGCUCUACCUCCAAAAUCAAUCCCAAGCUACAGCAUUUGUGGUCUAAUACCACCAUCCACAUGAAGGAAGAACACAGACCUGCUUCACUCAAUGUUUGGUGGAAGGAUGUAGGCUGUGCAAUAAUCUGAAUGAUCUUACAUUAGGCUUGCUUCAUUGUGCCCUACCAUCCCUAAGGUGCUCUGCCCCAGUGUAUUUUGUGUGAGAAGUUAGAAGCAUGCAUCACAAAGUAAGUACAUGUCUCCUUUUAAAUGAUUUAUUGUGUUAAUGUAAACAACUUCUCUCUACAAUGCAUAUCCCUUAUUAGAGAAUCCAAGUAUCUUUCCUGUUGCAAAAUACCCAAUUUGUAUCUGAAAUGGUUAAUCUUAUGUGUCAGCUGGGUUAAGAGAUGUCCGGAUGGCUAGUCAGACAUUAUGUCUGGAUCUGUCUGUGAGGGAAUUUCUGAAAGGGAUUAGUAUUUGCUUCAGUAAACUGGGAGAUGGCCACUCAUAGUGGUGAGGGAAACUCUCUUCACUCAGUCUGCUGAUGGUCCCAAUAGAACAAAAGAUGAAAGAAGGACCGAUUCCCUCUCUCUUCUUGAACUAGAGCAUCUACUUCUCCUGCCCUCAGGCAUCAGUGAUCCUGGAUGACAGGCCGUUGGACCCAGACUGAAAUAUACCACGAGUUUUCUGGUUCCUCAGCUUGCUGACAACAGACUGUGGACUUCUCAGCCUCUGUAGCCCUGUGAGCCAAUUCCUGUGACAAAUAUCUUCACAUACGUAUAUAUAUCCUACUGUGUUUUUUUUUCCCUCUAAUACAAUAUCUAAGCAAAGUUGAAGAUGUCCUAGAACAUUCACGCUUGAUAGAUUUAUUGUCAAGGGGAAGAAAAGUGGCUGGAGAGGACUGUGUAUGUGCAUUGGUGUUAAAGCAGGUGGUAUGCGUAUUCAGAUCAUAAAAUGUAAUCUAAGAGAAAACAAAGGUGAACAAAGGGCUGACCCAAACAUUACUCAGUGUAUCCUGCUUAGCACUUCCAUUUUCUUGUGCAGUUUACUUUUUCCUUUAUUUUUCCUAUUGACUAUGUCCUAUUUAAUGGAAAAUCCAAUUUUCACCCUCUCUCAUUUUAGAAAGACUACAUUAAAUUCACUUUCCUCCAGCCUUGGACUGAAUGAAAUCCCCAGUUUGAAUCUAGCAGUUGUUAACGGUGCACUAAGCCAUCUAAUGUAUCUCAUAAGGAUUUUUAAGUACAAGAAGUUUUGGAAUUGAAAUAAAGGUAGCAUCCACCUGAUUUACCCAUGGAUGGGGGUUCCACUGGCAGUUUCCAUUUUGUUUAGUGGUUCAGUGGUGUUACGGUUUGGUGUAAGUUGUGUUUUUACUGCUUGUGGUUUUCUGCAUUUUCAGUUUAUAUAUUUACAUAUUUAUAUUAGACAUACAGGUAUAUUUUAAUUCGAAGAAGAUCAGACUGAUACAGUGGUGUCUUUCUCAUUGGUGUCAGAUUUUUCUUUAAAAAAUAAUUAGAUAAAAGGUCACGUCGGGCAAAUUCUUUAUGAAAAGUAAAGAUUUCCAGUGCCGAAGUGUAGUGAGCAUGUUAAGCCCUUGUCAAGGAAUAUAUCAUUUCUAUUUAGCUCUUCCUAGAUAAAGUGACUGUAUUGAGUCUUCAGUGAACUCUGUUAUUCUGGAGUAAAGGAGAAAUGACUCAGAGGAAAUACGUGAAGGGCAUCUUGAACAAGGGAAUUGUAACUGCAACUUUUCAAACCUUUGCAAAUUAUAGUAUUCUUCUCUAGCUGGAAUUGUGCUUUCUGUUCAAAUUAAGUCGAAGGUGAUUAGUAACCCUUACAUUAGAAACUCUUCCCGUGAUGACACUGUUAGCUUUGAGAGAAAAUUAAGUUAGGAAAAAGUUUAGUUUGAUAAAACACAGUUGCAGAAUUAUAAGUCAGUGUCUGUAUCGCUUUAUUACUUGGAAAAUGACUGGAAGGAAGCAGUAUCCUAGCAGUGUUUCCAUUCAGGUCUUUCAUACUGGAAGUGUUAAUUCAUUUAUAAAAACUAGAGACAUAGAACUAUUACAAAUCUUGAUUUCAGCUCAGGUUCCCCUAAAAUAGAAAAGCUGCCAGCGUGCCUAUUUCUGAUCCAAAUGCGGAAAACCACAGUGCCAUUUCUCAAAGGUAACAACCCCGCCAUUGCUCUGCCUGAGGACUUUAUUAGAUUUAAUACUGAGAGCUCACAGUCAGCUACUGCCAGUGAAUCCCUUGAAAGCUGGAAACUUGGAUUAUCUUUUGUCUACAUUUCUAUUACACAGACUGUUGCUAACCUUCCAUUCCCAACUUGAACCUACUUAAUGGUGUUGCCAACCAGCAGCUGUACCUCUGAGGGCCUCCAGCAAAAUAAAAGCUGUAUUUCACAUCUUAGGUGUAGUGUAGAUUUCCAAGAAGAAAGGUAACCUGAUCUUUUAACAUUCUGUUUGUACUUGCAAAGUAUAGCACAUUUGCAAUAUGAUAUUCCUUCUGGGAGAUCACCAUGUGGAUUAUUCUGCAACUUUCAGAGGUGAUUGAAGUAUUUCAAAUUAGAGUCUUGAAAUAAAGGAGCUCAUGGCCAGGAGCAUUAUCACUUCACAGAGUGGAAAAUGAGGUUUACUAGUUACUAAAUCAAUAGAAAUAACAGGAUUUGUAUGAAUAACUUAGGGACUCUUUAUUGAAGCUUUUGUUUUCUUCAUUCUUUUCCUUGCUUACUCCUAAUUUAAAACAUAGCAAGUAUGGCUUCAACUUCACUCUUCAUUAUACAAUGUCAAUAUUCUUGGUUUUUUAUACAUGGCACAUACACACAACACUGCUCCAGGUAUACAUAAGGGCAUCGUAAUUGCUUGCUUACAUGUUAAACUAAAAUACAUGCCUAUUAAUUUUCUCAUUUAGACACAGGUAAAUGUGAAGGGAAUAGUUCUCAACGUAAGAGAAAAUCAGAAUGUCAUCUCUGGAUGAAAGUCAUUUAACAGUCAGUUCUUACUGUGCAUCCCAGGGCUACAUGCUCUUAUUAAAUAUCUAAGCCAAUACUUCACUAUUGUUUCGUUUUACUUUUUUAAGGUUUAUUUAUUCUUGACAGAGAGACAGAGACAGAGACAGAAACAGACACAGAAUCUGAAGCAGGCUCCAGGUUCUGAGCUGUCAGCACAGAGCCCAACACUGGGCUUGAAGUCACAAACUGCAAGAUCAUGACCUGAGCCAAAUUCAGACGCUUAACUGACUGAACCACCCAGGCACCCCAGGCCAGUACUUAGUCAUUAUUAAUAUUCUGAUUAGUUACCACAAAAUAUUCUUGCAUUGAAGCAAGAGUUUUGUUGCAUAGAAUUCAAUGUUCUUAUUCAACAUCUAGAGAUCAUGAUUAAGGAAAUCCUCUACUCAGGAUAUAUACUUAACAUGAAAGAAACAGAAAAACAAAAAGAAAAAUGAUUACCCCCCAUAACUUCUUAAUGUCCUCAAACUUCUGAAAUUUUUUUGUAGUGGCAUUCCAGCUUACAAGUAUCUUUCCAAUGAAUAGGAUAAUUCUUGGCUUUAAUGCCAUAUUAUCCCAAGCAAAAACUCAGGGAAGGCUACACAUGCAUAAAUUAACCUGACCCGUAAUUCACAGCCUUGACACUAGCUUCAGAAGGAAAACUCAGUAUACACCCAAACCCUACCAGUCAAAUAUGUGGAAUGGUGACUAAUGCUUUGCAAAAUACAGAAAUACUAACCGUUCUUUUUAUUUUUUUUCUAGUAUAGUUAACAUAGUGUUAUGUUACUUUCAGGUGUACAAUGUAGUGACUCAACAAUUCUAUACAUUACUCAGCGUUCAUCACCUUAAAUAUACUCUUAUCCCUUCACCUAUUCCAUUCCUUCCCCGAUCCACUCCUCUCUGGUGAUCAUUAGUUGGUUCUCUGUAGUUAAGAGCAUGUUUCUUGGUUUAUCUCUUUUUCUCUGUUCAUUUGUUUCUUCAGUAUUACAUAUUAGUGAAAUCAUAUGGUGAUUUUUUCUUUUUUCGCUUAGGAUUAUACCCUCUAGAACCAUCCAUGUUAUUGCUGGUAAGAUUUCAUUCUUUUUUAUGGCUAAUAUUUCAUUGUAUACA